UUGGGGAUCCAAAUCACCCCCUGAUCACGUCCCAUCUCGUCAGAGCUCGGAAGCUAAGCGGGGGUUUGAGCCUGGUUAGAACUUGCAUGGGAGACUGCCUCGGAAUGCCGCCAGGUGUUGCAGGCC
rnacentral:rRNA from 1 species